UGACCUCCAUUAACAAUACCAAUAACUAGGUUGAAUCGCGCAAGAUUUAUGGAUGACGUGGAAAUGAA
ensembl:ncRNA F35G2.12 ncRNA